rnacentral:rRNA from 1 species
AUGAACACAAGAGUGAUAAAUGGUGACAUCCUCGUUCCCUUCAGCCGGUCACAAAACCAAGUUGCAGCCGGUUUUCCUUGUGCCAACAUUAUCUGGAAGUCAUGGGCUCCAGCGAAGUGCAAGAUGAACCUCUGGCUCGUGGUGCAAAACUGGUUGUGGAUCGCAAACCGCCGGCAGUGUCAUGGCCUCUGCGUGAAAGGAAUCUGUGCUCUAUGCCAACGCCCAAGAAAAGGCCUGACCACCUCACUGUGGAAUGCCCUUUUCACGGGCUGUGUGGAUGGCCAUGCUAGGUCGUUGCAACCUUGCCCACAAGACGCCGCACACGACGCCUUGUGUGAUUGGCACCCUGAUGCUCACCGCGUGCUCAACAAGCAGACACGCAAAGGUCUUGACAGUAUCAUGCUCCUCGUCUUCUGGCGGAUAUGGCUUGAACGCAACGCCAGGAUAUUCAAUAAUUUGCCGAGCACAGUCACACAGGGGUGUGCCGGUAAAGCGGGCGUUGUGGGGUUACAAUCUAUUUGGAGGUAG